UACGGAGGGUGCGAGCGUUGCUCGGAAUUAUUGGGCGUAAAGCGUACGCAGGCGGCUCGGUAAGUCGAGUGUGAAAUCCCGAGGCUCAACCUCGGACGUGCAUUCGAUACUGCCGAGCUUGAAUGCGGGAGAGGGAAGCGGAAUUCCUGGUGUAGAGGUGAAAUUCGUAGAUAUCUGGAGGAACACCGGUGGCGAAGGCGGCAUCCUGGACCAAUAUUGACGCUGAGGAGCGAAAGCUAGGGGAGCAAACGGG
rnacentral:rRNA from 1 species